rnacentral:tRNA from 1 species
GGGGCCGUAGCUCAGCUGGGAGAGCGCGUGGCUGGCAGUCAUGAGGUCAGGGGUUCGAACCCCCUCGGCUCCACCA